rnacentral:rRNA from 1 species
UCCAGACUCCUACGGGAGGCAGCAGUGAGGAAUAUUGGUCAAUGGGCGGAAGCCUGAACCAGCCAAGUCGCGUGAGGGAAUAAGGCCCUACGGGUCGUAAACCUCUUUUGCCGGGGAGCAAGGGCGGGGACGUGUCCCGGCCCGGAGAGUACCCGGAGAAAAAGCAUCGGCUAACUCCGUGCCAGCAGCCGCGGUAAUACGUAGGGGGCAAGCGUUAUCCGGAUUCACUGGGCGUAAAGGGAGCGCAGGCGGCACGGCAAGUCUGGUGUGAAAGCCCGGGGCCCAACCCCGGGACUGCAUUGGAAACUGCCGGGCUGGAGUGCCGGAGGGGCAAGCGGAAUUCCUGGUGUAGCGGUGAAAUGCGCAGAUAUCAGGAAGAACACCGGUGGCGCAGGCGGCUUGCUGGACGGCAACUGACGCUGAGGCUCGAAAGCGUGGGGAGCAAACAGGAUUAGAUACCCUCGUACA